rnacentral:rRNA from 1 species
UACUGAGGGAGCUAGCGUUGUUCGGAAUUACUGGGCGUAAAGCGCACGUAGGCGGCUUUGUAAGUUAGAGGUGAAAGCCCGGGGCUCAACUCCGGAGCUGCCUUUAAGACUGCAUCGCUUGAAUCCAGGAGAGGUGAGUGGAAUUCCGAGUGUAGAGGUGAAAUUCGUAGAUAUUCGGAAGAACACCAGUGGCGAAGGCGGCUCACUGGUCCGGUACUGACGCUGAGGUGCGAAAGCGUGGGGAGCAAACAGG